rnacentral:rRNA from 1 species
UCCAGACUCCUACGGGAGGCAGCAGUGGGGAAUAUUGGGCAAUGGGGGAAACCCUGACCCAGCGACGCCGCGUGAGGGAAGAAGGUUUUCGGAUUGUAAACCUCUGUCCUUGGUGACGAUAAUGACGGUAGCCAAGGAGGAAGCCACGGCUAACUACGUGCCAGCAGCCGCGGUAAUACGUAGGGGGCAAGCGUUAUCCGGAUUUACUGGAUGUAAAGGGGGCGCAGACGGCAGCGCAAGCCAGGAGUGAAAGCCCGGGGCCCAACCCCGGGACUGCUCUUGGAACUGCGCGGCUGGAGUGCAGGAGGGGCAGGCGGAAUUCCUGGUGUAGCGGUGAAAUGCGUAGAUAUUAGGAGGAACACCAGUGGCGAAGGCGUCUUACUGGAUCGAAACUGACGUUGAGGCUCGAAAGCGUGGGGAGCAAACAGGAUUAGAUACCCUAGUA